UUCGGGUGCCGACGAGUGGCGAACGGGUGAGUAACGCGUGGAUACCUGUCCUUUGGUGGGGAAUAACGUCUAGAAAUGGACGCUAAUACCGCAUAAGCCCUGUGGGGGAAAGAUUUAUCGCCAUAGGAGGGGUCCGCGUCGGAUUAGCUUGUUGGUGGGGUAACGGCCUACCAAGGCGACGAUCCGUAGCUGGUCUGAGAGGAUGAUCAGCCACACUGGGACUGAGACACGGCCCAGACUCCUACGGGAGGCAGCAGUGGGGAAUAUUGCGCAAUGGAGGAAACUCUGACGCAGCGACGCCGCGUGGGUGAAGAAGGCCUUAGGGUUGUAAAGCCCUUUCAGUGGGAAAGAUGAUGACGGUACCCACAGAAGAAGCCCCGGCUAACUCCGUGCCAGCAGCCGCGGUAAUACGGAGGGGGCCAGCGUUGUUCGGAAUUACUGGGCGUAAAGGGCGCGUAGGCGGUUGAUCAAG
rnacentral:rRNA from 1 species